UGGGGAAUAUUGCACAAUGGGGGGAACCCUGAUGCAGCCAUGCCGCGUGAAUGAAGAAGGCCUUCGGGUUGUAAAGUUCUUUCGGUGACGAGGAAGGUUGAUAGGUUAAUAGCCUAUCAAAUUGACGUUAAUCACAGAAGAAGCACCGGCUAACUCCGUGCCAGCAGCCGCGGUAAUACGGGGGGUGCGAGCGUUAAUCGGAAUAACUGGGCGUAAAGGGCACGCAGGCGGUGACUUAAGUGAGAUGUGAAAGCCCCGAGCUUAACUUGGGAAUUGCAUUUCAUACUGGGUCGCUAGAGUACUUUAGGGAGGGGUAGAAUUCCAUGUGUAGCGGUGAAAUGCGUAGAUAUAUGGAGGAACACCAGUGGCGAAGGCGACUCUCUGGUCUGUAACUGACGCUGAGGCUCGAAAGCGUGGGUAGCAAACAGGAUUAGAUACCCUGGUAGUCCACGCCGUAAACGAUGAGUGCUAAGUGUUGGUCUCAUAAGAGAUCAGUGCUGCAGCUAACGCAUUAAGCACUCCGCCUGGGGAGUACGACCGCAAGGUUG
rnacentral:rRNA from 1 species